UACGGAGGGUGCAAGCGUUAUCCGGAUUCACUGGGUUUAAAGGGUGCGUAGGAGGGCAGGUAAGUCAGUGGUGAAAUCUCCGAGCUUAACUUGGAAACUGCCGUUGAUACUAUCUGUCUUGAAUACCGUGGAGGUGAGCGGAAUAUGUCAUGUAGCGGUGAAAUGCUUAGAUAUGACAUAGAACACCAAUUGCGAAGGCAGCUCACUACACGAGCAUUGACUCUGAGGCACGAAAGCGUGGGGAUCAAACAGG
rnacentral:rRNA from 1 species